GCCCAGUGAACAAUUAAACGGCCGCGGUACCCUAACCGUGCAAAGGUAGCAUAAUCAUUUGUCUAUUAACUGUAGACCUGUAUGAAAGGCAAAAUGAGGGUUUAACUGUCUCUUAUAAUAAAUCUAUUAAACUGAUCCCCCAGUAAAAAAGCUGGGAUACUACCAUAAGACCAGAAGACCCUGUGAAGCUUUAACUAAACUAUUAAACCAAAUAAUAACUACUUUAGGUUGGGGCGACCUUGGAAAUAAAAAGAACUUCCAACACAAUAAACAAUCACCAAGGCCUACAAGCCAAUUAACGACCCAGUAACACUGAUAAUUGAACUAAGUUACUCCAGGGAUAACAGCGCCAUCUUCUUCAAGAGCCCAUAUCAAAAAGAAGGUUUACGACCUCGAUGUUGGAUCAGGACACCCCAAUGGUGCAACCGCUAUUAAAGGUUCGUUUGUUCAACGAUUAAUGUCCUACGUGAU
rnacentral:rRNA from 1 species